UCCAAGUCCCGUAAGAAACAUGCGACCCGAAUAUGAAUCUAAAUAUGAGAAUUUUCGAAUUCAGAUCGGAAACUGGGGUCGUGGAUCCGCAAAGUCCGCCUCUUUUGGGUUAUCUCGAUUAUGUGGUUGUGGAUUUGAGCUAUGGCGGUGCUCCAAUGGCGCUGCGAGCGUUCUACAACGAGAUCAAGGGGAUGAAGGUGAGGGAGCUUCCCUCGUACCUGAAGCCCAAGCUGUAAUGGGAUCACAACAAGAAGAGCGCGGACCAGGCGGUUGAUCGCUACAUCUAGAAGUACAUCGAGACAGGCUCCAUCCAGCCUCUCUACCAUGUCUACUUCGGUGGCAUGAUCUUCUCCUACCUCGUCGCCCUCCCCGAGGAGCGCCGCCACCUCGAGCACCAGCAGCACGCCGCCGCCGCCGGCCACCACUGAUGGCUGCCGGCCACCGAUUCUCCCAGGGUUGAAGAGCUUUCAUUUGGAUGACGAGGAAUGGAUACCUACAUUCAUUUUCUACUUACCUAAACCAAGUUGUUUGUGAUUUAUUUUCAGCUGCAGAGUUGAAACAACAGUAUGUUAUGAUUUUUUUCCCGAAUUUAAUUGUCAUGGACACUAUACAUCUAUGAUCAUGAUGCAAAAUAUUUUCUGAUUUUUUUUGACAAAAA